UACGUAGGGGGCAAGCGUUGUCCGGAUUCAUUGGGCGUAAAGAGCGUGUAGGCGGCCAGGUAGGUCGGUUGUGAAAACUGGAGGCUCAACCUUCAGAGGUCGACCGAAACCAUCUGGCUAGAGUCCGGGAGAGGAGAGUGGAAUUCCUGGUGUAGCGGUGAAAUGCGCAGAUAUCAGGAGGAACACCCGUGGCGAAGGCGGGUCUCUGGACAGUUCCUGACGCUGAGGCACGAAGGUCAGGGGAGCAAACGGG
rnacentral:rRNA from 1 species